AACUCCCUUCUCCCCUUGGUUCCCCAGAUCAAUCACAAGGCCUAACAGAUAUAGAAUUCCCUCCUGCCACAGGAAAGGCACUUUCUCUAAGCUGGAAGAGCAUGGAAGGGGCUCCUGUAAACUAAGGUGGCCUUGGAUUUGCUAUGAAGCGGAAGAUGAUCUUGACUUCCUGAACUUUCUGCCUCUGCCUUCAAAGUGCUGGGGUUACAGGAGGAAGUGACUAGCGCACGUAGGGGAUGCUGGAUAUGGGGCUGAGAGAAGCGCUGAGUCCAGUUUGGAAGACUGGGAGACAGCCUCAUCUUUCUUCUUUUGAGAUGGGGAGUCUGCUCAAGUGAUUCCCUCCAAGUCUCCUCAGUAGCUGGACUACGGGCACAUGCCAGCACAGCAAGGAAGACACCAAACCCAAUGGAUGGCAGAGGUCCCACGGCUGAGAUGCUUCAUCCCACAGGCCUCCUCUCCAGGACAAUUCACAAGCAAACUGCCCAUCUGUUCGAUGAAAGCCAGUUUCCGACCAAGUCUGCCUCUCUCUCCAACUCCACCUCAGCUCCCAGAAGGCCUAGCAUAGCUCUCCUUCCCAAAUGAUGUGUGUUACAAGUGAGAGCGGCAUAUGUAAGCUUAAAUUUUCUUGUAACCAC